UAAUUGUUUAUAAUAAUAUAUUUAUAAUUAUAAAAAUCACAUGAAGUCAAGAAGUCGUUGACUGACUCAAGUUAAAUAAACUGAAAGGUUUGAUCAGUAAAAUCAAAAUUUUAAAUGAAUAGACAGUUGAUUCAAAAUAAUUUAUAGUUCAGAUGAAUUCUGUAUAUAUUUUAUUUUAUUUUAUUUCUCAUUUUGCCAUAGCAUUUUCUCUUCUUUUUUUUUCUCUAAAAAAAAAG
rnacentral:lncRNA from 1 species